rnacentral:lncRNA from 1 species
AAUUUACAACACGACGAAAUAUUGCGGUUCCUGAAAAGAAAAAAAAUCAUCAUAAGAAAAGAAGACAUAGAUUUCGCAAAUCUAUGCGAUGGCGAAGACAAAAUGCUUUCAGUUUGUUUUAAAUGUCUGUUAACAGAGAAAUAUGGGUUAAACAACGAACCUCUGAGAUAGUUUUGGCGCUGUACAUGCGCAUACGUUAUUUUCGAUUCAAUCGUACUAGUUUAAACCGAUCUCUG